rnacentral:misc_RNA from 1 species
AUGUACCCACUUAUGGAGGGUAUUCGCCGCCGGCGGGUAAGUUCAACAGGAAGUUGCCUGUGAUGUUGCAGUUUCACGGAGGUGGGUUUGUGAGUGGGAGCAAUGAGUCGGUGGCAAACGAUGCGUUUUGCAGGAGGAUAGCCAAGUUGUGCGACGUAAUUGUUGUUGCUGUUGGGUAUAGAUUGGCACCUGAGAGUAAGUACCCGGCUGCUUUUGAAGAUGGCCUCACGGUUUUGAAUUGGUUGGCCAAGCAGGCAAAUUUGGCUUCUUGUAGGAGAUUGAGUCUUCAAAGCCGUAUUUUUGAUAGCUUUGGCGCUUCCAUGCUUGAGCCUUGGCUUGCAGCUCAUGGAGACCCUUCCAGGUGUGUAUUACUUGGGGUGAGCUCUGGUGCAAAUAUAGCAGAUUAUGUGGCACGAAAGUCUGUAGAGGCAGGCAAGCUAUUGGAUCCUGUUAAGGUUGUGGCCCAAGUACUGAUGUACCCUUUCUUCAUUGGAAGCACCCCCACACGUUCUGAAGUUAAGCUGGCAAACUCAUACUUCUA